GACGAACGCUGGCGGCGUGCUUAACACAUGCAAGUCGAACGGAAAGGCCCCUUUGGGGGUACUCGAGUGGCGAACGGGUGAGUAACACGUGAGUAACCUGCCCUUGACUUCGGGAUAACUUCAGGAAACUGGGGCUAAUACCGGAUAGGAAUCCUUGCUGCAUGGUGGGGGUUGGAAAGCUUCGGCGGUUUUGGAUGGACUGGCGGCUUAUCAGCUUGUUGGUGGGGUAGUGGCUUACCAAGGCUUUUACGGGUAGCCGGCCUGAGAGGGCGACCGGCCACAUUGGGACUGAGGUAAGGCACAGACGCCGACGGGAGGCAGCAGUGGGGAAGAUUGCACAAGGGGCGGAAGGCGGAUGCAGAAAGGCCGCGGGCGGGAUGACGGCCUUCGGGUUGUAGAACGCGUUCAGCAGGGGCGAAGCGUGUGGUGACGGUACCUGCAGAAGAAGCACCGGCUAACUACGUG
rnacentral:rRNA from 1 species